rnacentral:rRNA from 1 species
AUGAACGCUGGCGGCGUGCCUAAUACCUGCAAGUCGAGCGAACGGACGAGAAGCUUGCUUCUCUGAUGUUAGCGGCGGACGGGUGAGUAACACGUGGAUAACCUACCUAUAAGACUGGGAUAACUUCGGGAAACCGGAGCUAAUACCGGAUGAUAUUUUGAACCGCAUGGUUCAAAAGUGAAAGACGGUCUUGCUGUCACUUAUAGAUGGAUCCGCGCUGCAUUAGCUAGUUGGUAAGGUAACGGCUUACCAAGGCAACGAUGCAUAGCCGACCUGAGAGGGUGAUCGGCCACACUGGAACUGAGACACGGUCCAGACUCCUACGGGAGGCAGCAGUAGGGAAUCUUCCGCAAUGGGCGAAAGCCUGACGGAGCAACGCCGCGUGAGUGAUGAAGGUCUUCGGAUCGUAAAACUCUGUUAUUAGGGAAGAACAUAUGUGUAAGUAACUGUGCACAUCUUGACGGUACCUAACCAGAAAGCCACGGCUAACUACGUG